ACAGCAAGGCCUCAGUCCUUUAUAACAGAGAUGCCAUGUGCGCUGGCUUCUUCCAACCAUUACCUCCAACCACUUGUGUUGUUGAUAAGGCACUUACAAACUGUGUCCGAUGUUUACCUAUUGAGAUGCCUGUCAGCAUCUGUGGCUGUCCCCCAGAAGCACUGAGGGUGAUCCAAGGGAAGGCAGUUGCUUUGGUCACAAUAAAUGGAUGGUAUGAUCUCAACAUGCCUGAGCUGACCUGUGAGGGAUGCCAGGCACAUUGGACUGCAGGGCUUGAUGACCUGAUAAGUGGUGGAUACUGGCCUGCCACCCUUCAUUUUUCAACAAUUUAUGAGACAGACCUGUUUUAUACAUUUGAGGACAUGAAGAUGGCAUCGCCAGGG